CCUACGGGUGGCUGCAGUGGGGAAUAUUGGACAAUGGGGGCAACCCUGAUCCAGCCAUGCCGCGUGUGUGAAGAAGGCCCUCGGGUUGUAAAGCACUUUCAGUGGGGAAGAACGCCUGGUGGUUAAUACCCAUCAGGAAAGACAUCACUCACAGAAGAAGCACCGGCUAACUCCGUGCCAGCAGCCGCGGUAAUACGGAGGGUGCGAGCGGUAAUCGGAAUUACUGGGCGUAAAGCGCGCGUAGGUGGCUUGAUAAGCCGGUUGUGAAAGCCCCGGGCUCAACCUGGGAACGGCAUCCGGAACUGUCAAGCUAGAGUGCAGGAGAGGAAGGUAGAAUUCCCGGUGUAGCGGUGAAAUGCGUAGAGAUCGGGAGGAAUACCAGUGGCGAAGGCGGCCUUCUGGACUGACACUGACACUGAGGUGCGAAAGCGUGGGUAGCAAACAGGAUUAGAUACCCGUGUAGUC
rnacentral:rRNA from 1 species